rnacentral:rRNA from 1 species
GGAGUCCGAUUUAGCCAUGCUAGUCGCACGAACUUAGAUUCGUGGCAUAUAGCUCAGUAACACGUGGCCAAACUACCCUACAGACCGCGAUAACCUCGGGAAACUGAGGCCAAUAGCGGAUACAGCUUUCAUGCUGGAGUGCAGAGAGCUGGAAACGUUCCGGCGCUGUAGGAUGUGGCUGCGGCCGAUUAGGUAGAUGGUGGGGUAACGGCCCACCAUGCCGAUAAUCGGUACAGGUUGUGAGAGCAAGAGCCUGGAGACGGUAUCUGAGACAAGAUACCGGGCCCUACGGGGCGCAGCAGGCGCGAAACCUUUACACUGCACGACAGUGCGAUAGGGGGACUCCGAGUGUGAGGGCAUAUAGCCCUCGCUUUUCUGUACCGUAAGGUGGUACAAGAAUAAGGACUGGGCAAGACCGGUGCCAGCCGCCGCGGUAAUACCGGCAGUCCAAGUGAUGGCCGAUAUUAUUGGGCCUAAAGCGUCCGUAGCUUGCUGUGUAAGUCCAUUGGGAAAUCGACCAGCUCAACUGGUCGGCGUCCGGUGGAAACUACACAGCUUGGGGCCGAGAGACUCAACGGGUACGUCCGGGGUAGGAGUGAAAUCCUGUAAUCCUGGACGGACCACCAAUGGGGAAACCACGUUGAG